CGAGCGCACCUUCGGGUGAGCGGCGGACGGGUUAGUAACGCGUGGGAACGUGCCCUUUUCUGCGGAAUAGCCACUGGAAACGGUGAGUAAUACCGCAUACGCCCUUCGGGGGAAAGAUUUAUCGGAGAGGGAUCGGCCCGCGUUAGAUUAGGUAGUUGGUGGGGUAAUGGCCUACCAAGCCUACGAUCUAUAGCUGGUUUGAGAGGAUGAUCAGCAACACUGGGACUGAGACACGGCCCAGACUCCUACGGGAGGCAGCAGUGGGGAAUCUUAGACAAUGGGGGCAACCCUGAUCUAGCCAUGCCGCGUGAGUGAUGAAGGCCUUAGGGUCGUAAAGCUCUUUCGCUGGGGAUGAUAAUGACAGUACCCAGUAAAGAAACCCCGGCUAACUCCGUGCCAGCAGCCGCGGUAAUACGGAGGGGGUUAGCGUUGUUUGGAAUUACUGGGCGUAAAGCGAACGUAGGCGGACUGGAAAGUUAGAGGUGAAAUCCCGGGGCUCAACCCCGGAACUGCCUUUAAAACUAUCAGUCUAGAGUUCGAGAGAGGUGAGUGGAAUUCCGAGUGUAGAGGUGAAAUUCGUAGAUAUUCGGAGGAACACCAGUGGCGAAGGCGGCUCACUGGCUCGAUACUGACGCUGAGGUGCGAAAGUGUGGGGAGCAAACAGGAUUAG
rnacentral:rRNA from 1 species